rnacentral:rRNA from 1 species
AUUGAACGCUGGCGGCAGGCCUAACACAUGCAAGUCGAGCGGUAGAGAGAAGCUUGCUUCUCUUGAGAGCGGCGGACGGGUGAGUAAUGCCUAGGAAUCUGCCUGGUAGUGGGGGAUAACGCUCGGAAACGGACGCUAAUACCGCAUACGUCCUACGGGAGAAAGCAGGGGGACCUUCGGGCCUUGCGCUAUCAGAUGAG